rnacentral:rRNA from 1 species
GACAGAGGGUGCAAACGUUGCUCGGAAUUACUGGGCGUAAAGCGCGUGUAGGCUGACCGGAAAGUCGGGCGUGAAAUCCCUGGGCUCAACCCAGGAACUGCACUCGAAACUCCCGGUCUUGAGUGGUGGAGAGGGAAGUGGAAUUCCUGGUGUAGAGGUGAAAUUCGUAGAUAUCAGGAGGAACACCAGUGGCGAAGGCGGCUUGCCAGAACGCACUCGACGGUGAGGGAUGAAAGCUGGGGGAGCAAACCGG